GGUUGACGUCAUAACUCGGAUGCUUGCGGGCUUCGAAGGUCACCAUGCCUGGUCGAGACGGCAAUGGGGCUGAGCUGUCAAGAGUCAAGGGACAAUCAACCCACUACUCGAUAUGGACGUUUUGUCAGUGUAUUAGUUGUUGGAAAGGUGGCAUGAUCUGGGGGGUUGUCUCGGUGACGAAUAGUCUCCAUCCCUCAGAUGCAUCCAACGAUUUUUAUAAAUACGCCUCUCUUCCUGCCGAUUUGUAUCAUUUUGGAUGCCUUCUGUGAUUCCUUUCACGUUUUGGCAGUUUUUAUUUUUAGGGGUUGUGGCUUUUUAGGCCCAAUUUCUUCCCUUGCUAUUUGCAAGCUUUUGUUCUUUAGGCAAUCACUAUUGGCUGAAUCAUCCGCCAAUCUCCCCACUUUUGAAUGGGGAAGUGAUGAGGUAUCUAGAAUCGCUUUUAAAUUCGAUGCUGCUGGUUGCAUGGCUGAGAUGAGGCAACAAAUCUCCUUAUUUGGCACUAAAAAAGGAGAGAAGUCAUUCGUGUGCCGGCAUUGCGAGAAAGAAGAGCGCGUAUUCAUGGAAUUGAGCUCUAUAGGGUGAUUGAUCUUUAUGUAUGAGACAUUCUUCUCGCAUAUUCGAUUGCAGUUGCCUCUGUCCGAGUUCCAUGGUUCAGUCCUUUCGAUGUUUCACGUUGCCCUGACCCAGCUGCAUCCAAAUAGCUGGGCCUUCGUUCAGGCAUUUGAGGUGCUCUACAGUUUCCUCGUCCUAAAGUCGAGCUUGGGAGUCUUCUUUUACCACUUCUAGUGGAAGGGGGCGGGCAAAGGCGGUUGGUUGUCCUUGAACAGUCUUCGGGGAAAUGGAUGGUUAAAGCUAUAUAUGAUAACUGUAAAAGCACUUCAAAGUUGGUUUCUUCAAGGUGACCUCAGUGGAGAAGGAGUUCCCCUUUUUUCUGGACGCCAAAGGACAUCCAAGGUACCCUCCUGUUUUGGCAGCGCGAGCCAACCGUCUUAUCCAAGAUUGACUACGCAAAUUUGGAUAGGAAAGGGUAGGUCUUGGUGGAUCUUCUUACUUUCUCUCCACAGCUAAAGUUGACUAAACUUGUUGAGCUUAGGGAUGACCCAAAGAGGCUUGUAGAGUACAUGCAGACCACAGCUUUAGGGCUGACCAAGGAGGAGGUUCAAUGCCGGGUGUAGGCGAAAGGGGUUGCUAGCCCGAUUUUCGGAUUUGGUCCAAAAGGGACCAAGAAUGAUGCUAAGGGAAAGAGUGUCCGAUCGCUUAAAGGUCAUUUGACAGAAAGCACAGUUGCAUCCCAAACCUCUAAGGGGUCAACUGCACUGGACAUUCCAACUUUUCUGCUAGAGGAGGAGUAUCUUGACAUUGAGGACAUCUCACUAGUGUUACAAAAGAGGCGAAGGCUAACUGGAGGGGAGCUGUCCAAAGCUCCGACGACCCCGAUCUUGGUCGUCGAUCAAAAGGUGCAAAAGCUUCCAAGGACCCUAAGCCCAGUCGUCGAGGAAGAGAUGUUGGUGAGUCUAGGGACUUCGAGACUAGGUGCCGAAUUGUCGCCCUUAGUCAUGGGGCCAAUGUUGGGUGCUGGCAAGCAAUCAUCGGGUUUGGUUGAGCAGCCCUUGAAUACAGAUUGGGUUCCAGGCGGGCUUGCUCUAUGGGGCUAGGAUGACACUGAAUCUGAUCCUCGUAGUCUCUGGAGCAAGGAGUUUCGAGCUAGUGACUUUGUUGAGGAACACGUCACGCUCCCUGCUGAUCGUGAAAGGAAGAUGGCCUUAGGACUUAAAGGCUUAUGCCGUUGGGCCGAGACGUAAAGUCUUCGUCUUGCGGACGUUUGUCGGAUCUUGGAGGUGGAGACCCAAGCCCGGUCAAAAAGGUUACGGGGGGUCCGCAAGGAUGCGGGCGAGGGAGAUGGUGGCUGACGAGAUGAAGUCUUUCCUUAUAAGAGUUGAAGAUAUUGAAGCCUUGGCCGCUUAUCACAAGGGCAUUGCCCAGAAAUUGCUAGAGCAGCGAGACCAGGCUUGGGGAGAACAAAGCACCCUAUAGGGGAGGUUGGCGACUGCUAAGGGUAUCGCCCGGGAAGAGGCGAAGAAGUCGGCAAAGCUGGUAGUCGUGGUGGAGUGCCUUAAGGAUGAGGCUGUGGAUAAGUUUGUGGAGGGAUUUUCAUUGGCCUUGUCUCAAGUCCAAGCGCUCCAUCAUGGGGCCAAUAUCUUGCCCUGCAGUCCCAUCAGGAAAGUUGUCGAUGGUCGGAUUGUGGACCUUGUCCUGGAUGACUAAGACGUGACCCUGAUAAGGUCGCCCGAUGCUCCUUCAGAUCUUGCCGCUUCUGUCGACGUGCCCGUAGCCGAGCUUGCUCACGAUCCCAUCAACUCUUGAUCUACUUGUAAUAUUUUUAGAAUAAGUUGGUGGGAAACCUCGUGUAAUUCGUUAUGACGAGAUUCUUUAAUAAAAUAUACUUUGCUUGA